CUGUCCACAUCCCGAAUAGACUGGUCAAAAAGCCUUCAUCCCGUCAGUCACUGACAUCAACCUCAUCCAAAUCAGACUCCUAAAAACCCGGCCUAACUUAUGUGUCAUGCAAAGGAUGGCUCUUGGAAAAAUGGAAAGAACAAUACUAGUACUGACUUCACUGGUUGCUGUAAGAAUCAAGGGUUAAGAUGUAUCAAGUGCUCAGAAGACUGCCUAGCAUGUACUUAC
rnacentral:lncRNA from 1 species